UGAUCCUGGCUCAGGAUGAACGCUAGCGGCAGGCUUAACACAUGCAAGUCGAGGGGCAACAUGGGUGCUUGCACUUGAUGACGACCGGCGAACGGGUGCGUAACGCGUAUAGAAUCUGCCUUGUACAGGAGGAUAACCUUUAGAAAUGAAGACUAACACUCCAUAAUGUAGUAGAUUGGCAUCAAUUUAUUAUUAAAUAUUUAUAGGUACAAGAUGACUAUGCGUCCUAUUAGCUAGAUGGUAAGGUAACGGCUUACCAUGGCGACGAUAGGUAGGGGGUCUGAGAGGAUUAUCCCCCACACUGGUACUGAGACACGGACCAGACUCCUACGGGAGGCAGCAGUGAGGAAUAUUGGACAAUGGAGGCAACUCUGAUCCAGCCAUGCCGCGUGCAGGAAGACUGCCCUAUGGGUUGUAAACUGCUUUUAUACAGGAAGAAACAGUGAUACGUGUAUCACCUUGACGGUACUGUAAGAAUAAGGACCGGCUAACUCCGUGCCAGCAGCCGCGGUAAUACGGAGGGUCCAAGCGUUAUCCGGAAUCAUUGGGUUUAAAGGGUCCGCAGGCGGUUAAUUAAGUCAGAGGUGAAAUCCCAUCGCUUAACGAUGGAACUGCCUUUGAUACUGGUUGACUUGAGUCAUAUGGAAGUAGAUAGAAUAAGUAGUGUAGCGGUGAAAUGCAUAGAUAUUACUUAGAAUACCGAUUGCGAAGGCAGUCUACUACGUAUGUACUGACGCUCAUGGACGAAAGCGUGGGGAGCGAACAGGAUUAGAUACCCUGGUAGU
rnacentral:rRNA from 1 species